rnacentral:rRNA from 1 species
GCCGGAGGGAAACCGAGUCUUAAUUGGGCGUUAAGUUGCAGGGUAUAGACCCGAAACCCGGUGAUCUAGCCAUGGGCAGGUUGAAGGUUGGGUAACACUAACUGGAGGACCGAACCGACUAAUGUUGAAAAAUUAGCGGAUGACCUGUGGCUGGGGGUGAAAGGCCAAUCAAACCGGGAGAUAGCUGGUUCUCCCCGAAAGCUAUUUAGGUAGCGCCUCGUGAAUUCAUCUCCGGGGGUAGAGCACUGUUUCGGCUAGGGGGCCAUCCCGGCUUACCAACCCGAUGCAAACUGCGAAUACCGGAGAAUGUUAUCACGGGAGACACACGGCGGGUGCUAACGUCCGUCGUGAAGAGGGAAACAACCCAGACCGCCAGCUAAGGUCCCAAAGUCAUGGUUAAGUGGGAAACGAUGUGGGAAGGCCCAGACAGCCAGGAUGUUGGCUUAGAAGCAGCCAUCAUUUAAAGAAAGCGUAAUAGCUCACUGGUCGAGUCGGCCUGCGCGGAAGAUGUAACGGGGCUAAACCAUGCACCGAAGCUGCGGCAGCGACGCUGAUGCGUUGUUGGGUAGGGGAGCGUUCUGUAAGCCUG